rnacentral:rRNA from 1 species
GGCCUAACACAUGCAAGUCGAGGGGUAUAGUUCUUCGGAGCUAGAGACCGGCGCACGGGUGCGUAACGCGUAUGCAAUCUACCUUUUACAGAGGGAUAGCCCAGAGAAAUUUGGAUUAAUACCUCAUAGUAUAUAGCCCUGGCAUCAGGAUUAUAUUAAAGUCACAACGGUGAAAGAUGAGCAUGCGUCCCAUUAGCUAGUUGGUAAGGUAACGGCUUACCAAGGCAACGAUGGGUAGGGGUCCUGAGAGGGAGAUCCCCCACACUGGUACUGAGACACGGACCAGACUCCUACGGGAGGCAGCAGUGAGGAAUAUUGGUCAAUGGGCGCAAGCCUGAACCAGCCAUGCCGCGUGCAGGAUGACGGUCCUAUGGAUUGUAAACUGCUUUUGUACGAGAAGAAACACUGAUUCGUGAAUCAGCUUGACGGUAUCGUAAGAAUAAGGAUCGG